UACGUAGGGAGCAAGCGUUGUCCGGAAUCAUUGGGCGUAAAGCGCGCGUAGGCGGCCCUGUAAGUCCGUUGUGAAAGUCAAAGGCUCAACCUUUGAAAGCCGAUGGAUACUGCAGGGCUAGGGUCCGGAAGAGGCGAGUGGAAUUCCUGGUGUAGCGGUGAAAUGCGCAGAUAUCAGGAAGAACACCCGUGGCGAAAGCGGCUCUCUGGGACGGUACUGACGCUGAGACGCGAAAGCGUGGGGAGCGAACAGG
rnacentral:rRNA from 1 species